GCCUCGAUGGUGAAAUGGAUAAUCAUCUCUCGCUUCUAACGAGAAGUUCCGGGUUCGAAUCCUGGUCGGGGCG
rnacentral:tRNA from 1 species